CUUAUCUCCCAGCCUCCAGCCAUCUUCAAAGGCUUCCCAGCUACUGUGUCCUGCAAGUUCAAAACCCUGCAGCCCACUGGGACUGGAGAUGCGUGAAGGAGCACAAGGAUUGGAGUUGAAUGACAGUCUUUUCCUUCUGACUUGGAAAUCUGCUAGGUUGCUGCUGCUUUUCUCAGAGAUGAUCCUUGGCUCGCUCUCAAGUGAAUUGCUAAUGAAUUAGUUACACUUACAUUUUUAAAAAAGAGAUGUGUGUCUGGGGACACCCAAGGAAUUCUUCCUCAGCCAGAAACAGAUCCUCAUUGAAAUGGACUCCAGGAAUUUGGAUUAGAUGAUCAGGGUAUUUUGGUGCCCUUAAAGACAAGGAAAGAUGAGAGUAGAGCGGAGGAAGAUAAGAAGAAGAGUAGGCAAGCAGGUGGCUGCCUGGCUGUUACAAUUUAUCAUGAACGCAUCUCACUUCACUUCUGGCUCCUCUGACGGAAGGAACAGCCGGUCUCCGGGAGGUCAAAGACAUUAUUUUCCCCUAGUCUUUCUCAGUUUCCAGUGCAUAUUUGUCACUUUGAAAAAGCAUGAAUUCUGGAUUUGAUGCACUUUAAUUGAUUUCACCCUCAACAAGUCCAACUGUCCAUCAACCUUUCCUUUUUCUUUCCUCUCCCCCUUCUUUUUUCUUUCCUCUGUCCCUUUGCUUUGAGAGUGAUGCUUUCACCAUCCUGCAUGUUGGAGCUGUUGCAAAGCCCAUGACCCUAUCAAGGCUUACUGUCACUAGCCAUUGCUCUCAUUUUCCUUAUCCUCCAAGCUGAACUUUGGGUGCUGAUUGAGAAUGAGGUAGGAGUACUGGUCUUGUAAUAUCUCAGUGAUGUGCUCCUUGUCAAAGUAAAAGUGGUGGCUGAUGGUCCACUUAAUUUGAGACAAUUGUGUAGAAUUCACUCAUUAUAUGCUGGCAUUGGUAUUUAAAACAGUUUGCAGUGUCAUGGCAGAGAUGAAUGUGCUGUUUCUUCUUUCCUCCUGGAAAGAUGUGUAUUCUCUGUAUAUCCAGGGUUGUGUGGUUGUAAAUUCGGUGUGUAAAGCGACAUUGUCACCUCAGAAAUGGAGAUCAUAGAAUCAUAGAACAUCCUGAGUUGCAAGGGGUCCACAAAGACCAUCCAAAAAUCCUAUGAGGUGCCAUCACACUCUUGUUUGGUGAAUUCUUCUGGCAUGGAAUAAAUGGGCGUGUGUAACAACUUGUCCUUUGCACAAAAAUCCUUAGAGUGUCCUGGAAACCAGGGGCUGCUUAAAGUGGAAGCUGAAAGAGUCACAGGUGUUCC